rnacentral:tRNA from 1 species
GGGGCCGUAGCUCAGUUGGCUAGAGCGCUUGAAUGGCAUUCAAGAGGUCGUGGGUUCGACUCCCAUCGGCUCCA